rnacentral:rRNA from 1 species
AACGAACGCUGGCAGCAGGCUUAACACAUGCAAGUCGAACGCAUCGCAAGAUGAGUGGCAGACGGGUGAGUAACGCGUGGGAACAUACCCUUUUCUACGGAAUAGCUCUGGGAAACUGGAAUUAAUACCGUAUACGCCCUACGGGGGAAAGAUUUAUCGGGGAAGGAUUGGCCCGCGUUGGAUUAGCUAGUUGGUGGGGUAAAGGCCUACCAAGGCGACGAUCCAUAGCUGGUCUGAGAGGAUGAUCAGCCACAUUGGGACUGAGACACGGCCCAAACUCCUACGGGAGGCAGCAGUGGGGAAUAUUGGACAAUGGGCGCAAGCCUGAUCCAGCCAUGCCGCGUGAGUGAUGAAGGCCUUAGGGCUGUAAAGCUCUUUCACCGAUGAAGAUAAUGACGGUAGUCGGAGAAGAAGCCCCGGCUAACUUCGUGCCAGCCGCCGCCGUAAAAC